rnacentral:rRNA from 1 species
AUUGAACGCUGGCGGAAUGCUUUACACAUGCAAGUCGAACGGCAGCACGGACUUCGGUCUGGUGGCGAGUGGCGAACGGGUGAGUAAUGUAUCGGAACGUGCCCAGUCGUGGGGGAUAACGUAGUGAAAAUUACGCUAAUACCGCAUACGAUCUAUGGAUGAAAGCGGGGGAUCGCAAGACCCCGCGCGAUUGGAGCGGCCGAUAUCAGAUUAGGUAGUUGGUGGGGUAAAGGCCCACCAAGCCAACGAUCUGUAGCUGGUCUGAGAGGACGACCAGCCACACUGGAACUGAGACACGGUCCAGACUCCUACGGGAGGCAGCAGUGGGGAAUUUUGGACAAUGGGCGAAAGCCUGAUCCAGCCAUUCCGCGUGCAGGAUGAAGGCCCUCGGGUUGUAAACUGCUUCUGUACAGAACGAAAAGGUUUCUACUAAUACUAGGAGCUCAUGACGGUACUGUAAGAAUAAGCACCGGCUAACUACGUGCCAGCCGCCGCAGUAA